AUACGGAGGAUCCGAGCGUUAUCCGGAUUUAUUGGGUUUAAAGGGUGCGCAGGCGGGGGAUUAAGUCGGCGGUGAAAUAUUGCAGCUCAACUGGAAAAGGGCCCUCGAAAAUGGUUUUCUUGAGUGUAGAAGAAGUAGGGGGAAUUUGUGGUGGAGCGGUGAAAUGCAUAGAUAUCACGAGGAACUCCGAUUGCGCAGGCAGCUUACUAAACUACUACUGACGCUCAGGCACGAAGGCGUGGGGAUCAAACAGGAUUAGAUACCCUGGUAGUCCACGCAGUAAACGAUGAUUACUAGCUGUUUGCGAUACAAUGUAAGCGGCUGAGCGAAAGCGUUAAGUAAUCCACCUGGGGAGUACGUUCGCAAGAAUGAAACUCAAAUGAAUUGACGGGG
rnacentral:rRNA from 1 species